rnacentral:rRNA from 1 species
AUUGAACGCUGGCGGCAGGCCUAACACAUGCAAGUCGAGCGGAGCGGCGGACGGGUGAGUAAUGCCUAGGAAUCUGCCUGGUAGUGGGGAUAACGUCCGGAACCGGGCGCUAAUACCUCCUACUAUCCGAUGAGCCCAGGUGGGAUUAGCUAGUUUGUGGGGUAAAGGCCUACCAAGGCGACGAACCGUAACUGGUCUGAGAGGAUGAUCAGUCACACUGGAACUGAGACACGGUCCAGACUCCUACGGGAGGCAGCAGUGGGGAAGAUUGGACAAUGGGCGAAAGCCUGAUCCAGCCAUGCCGCGUGUGUGAAGAAGGUCUUCGGAUUGUAAAGCACUUUAAGUUGGGAGGCGUUACCAACAGAAUAAGCACCGGCUAACUACGUGCCAGCAGCCGCGGUAAUUC